AAGAAGGAACAAGUUUUCAAAGGCGAAAGCACGAGGCGAGGCGCUUGACCCUCCAUGGGGCGAGGCGUACGCCCCAAGGCAUUGAGGCGUAAGCCUUUUGAUUGUUUAUUUUUUAAAUAAUUCAAUUAAUAAAAUAACUUUAAAAUUUUAAAAAAAAAUGUGCAGUUCAUAAAAGAUAGCAUAAAGUAGAUUACCAGUUAAUGACUUAUUAUUACCUUAUCAGUUAUUAGUUAUUAACUUUUUAUCUCAUUAAAUUAUCACUUUAUUAGUUAUUAAUAGAGCACAUCAGUUUGUCACAGAGCACGACUGCGGCUGAGGUGUACGCCUAAGGAAAUUAGGCAACUACCUUUGUGGUUCACCGCCCAAAUUUUCAAGCCCUGAGGCGAUUUGGCCUUGCCUCACCGCCCCAACGCUCCAAGGCGUGCCCCACAAACGCCUUUAAAAACCUUGGAACACUAGCUAAAGCCAGGAGGUAUAUAAUUGAAGCAAAUAGAAACAAGACACUGAGCAAAAUUAGGGAACAUACUGCAUAACACAGAUAAUUGCAGGAUUGGGACUAUGUUUACCUGAUAAAGACAAUAUGAAAGCAGCAUCGCGAGUGACAAAAUAAGUGAGAUCAGGACUGCUAAGCGCCUUCCUGAAGUCGAACUCAUAGUUUGUAGCAAUUGGACAACAAUAAAUGGGAUUACAGACACA